UACAGAGGUCUCAAGCGUUGUUCGGAUUCAUUGGGCGUAAAGGGUGCGUAGGCGGCGCGGUAAGUCGGGGUGUGAAAUCUUGGAGCUUAACUCCGAAACUGCAUUCGAUACUGCCGUGCUUGAGGACUGGAGAGGAGACUGGAAUUUACGGUGUAGCGGUGAAAAUGCGUAGAUAUCGUAAGGAAGACCAGUGGCGAAGGCGGCCAUCUGGGAAGCGACUGACGCUGAGACGCGAAAAGCGUGGGGUAGCAAAACAGG
rnacentral:rRNA from 1 species